rnacentral:lncRNA from 1 species
GCUUUGGGCUCUAGCUUGUUUUCAGGACAGAAGGGGUACUCCAGUCUAGUCUGAAUAGUCUUGCCUUCUUGUCCUGUUGAUUUUUUUUUUACAGAUCAUAUACAUCCAUGUAAGAUCACUGUUCAGUUAUGCUGGGGAACUAAACUGGAAGAGGAUGGAUGCUGUAACUGGGUAUGAAGGUGAUGAACAUGGGAUCACUCCUGUGAAUCACAGUCAUUGUCUUGAGGGACAUACCAGCUCAGGAAGAGUGGUUUCCAGUGGGAGGUAACCUUUGCCCUUCAGUAGUCUAAGGUUUCCAUUUCUGACUUAUUUUCUUCACCAAUCAGUACUUUUCCUUUCUAUGCCUUCUAUGAACUGUCUUGAUUGCUAUUAAAUAUAACACAUUAGAAUAUGCAGAAUCUGACAUCUGAUUAAAGGGUGCCAUUGUAUAUUAUUACCUUCUACAAAUUGUUAAGGGAGUCAAUGUGGAACCACGAUUACAAAAAAUCAAGGGAGGUGU